rnacentral:tRNA from 1 species
GUCUUCGUGGUGUAGCGGUCAGCACGCUCGACACGUAUUCGAGAGGUCCGGGGUUCGAGUCCCGGUGAGGGCA